rnacentral:rRNA from 1 species
UUUUGACCUCGGAUCAGGUAGGGA